GAUGAAGAACGUAGCGAAAUGCGAUAAGUAAUGUGAAUUGCAGAAUUCAGUGAAUCAUCGAGUCUUUGAACGCACAUUGCGCCCCCUGGUAUUCCGGGGGGCAUGCCUGUCCGAGCGUCAUUGCUGCCCUCAAGCACGGCUUGUGUGUUGGGCCCCGUCCUCCGAUCCCGGGGGACGGGCCCGAAAGGCAGCGGCGGCACCGCGUCCGGUCCUCGAGCAUAUGGGGCUUUGUCACCCGCUCUGUAGGCCCGGCCGGCGCUUGCCGAUCAACCCAAAUUUUUUAUCCAGGUUGACCUCGGAUCAGGUAGGGAUACCCGCUGAACUUAAGCAUAUCAAUAAGCGGAGGA
rnacentral:misc_RNA from 1 species